rnacentral:lncRNA from 1 species
GUUUUACCCCCAGUCCAUUUCCCACUCCUGGUUUGAUUUUCCACUUUUGGUAUGAUUUUCUGACAUGUAGCUUUCAAUAUUACUUUGUGCAUACUCUGGAUUUUUUUUUCCAAUCUGCAGCUGUAUUCUUCAGGACUUGUGGAAUGUGAGGAUCAGGAUCCACUUAAUCCUGAUAGAAGUUUUGAUGUGGAAUCAGUAAAGAAAGAAAUCCAGAGAGGAAGGAAGUUGAAAUGCAAAUUUUGUCAUAAAAGAGGAGCCACCGUGGGAUGUGAUUUAAAAAACUGUAACAAGAAUUACCACUUUUUCUGUGCCAAGAAGGACGACGCAGUUCCACAGUCUGAUGGAGUUCGAGGAAUUUAUAAACUGCUUUGCCAGCAACAUGCUCAAUUCCCGAUCAUCGCUCAAAGUGCCACCCGAAACAAUGAAAUGUAAUACAUUCAUAAGACAAGUGAAAGAAGAGCAUGGCAGACACACAGAUGCAACUGUGAAAGUUCCUUUUCUUAAGAAAUGCAAGGAAGCAGGACUUCUUAAUUACUUACUUGAAGAAAUAUUAGACAAAGUUCAUUCAAUUCCAGAAAAACUCAUGGAUGAGACUACUUCAGAAUCAGACUAUGAAGAAAUCGGGAGUGCACUUUUUGACUGUAGAUUGUUCGAAGACACAUUUGUAAAUUUUCAAGCAGCAAUAGAGAAAAAAAUUCAUGCAUCUCAACAAAGGUGGCAGCAGUUGAAGGAAGAGAUUGAGCUACUUCAGGACUUAAAACAAACCUUGUGCUCUUUUCAAGAAAAUAGAGAUCUUAUGUCAAGUUCUACAUCAAUAUCAUCCCUGUCUUAUUAGGGAUUACCGUUUCCUAAGCCAAGAGUCAUGUCAAAUUGCAAUCAGGCUCAAAACCAGAGACCAGGCUGUGAAAUCCACACAUCUUUAGAACUAGUCGUCUCCUCUUGGCCUCAGCAGCUCUUCCCUGUUCUUACUGGUUGACAUUUUGAUCACUCUUUGCACACUCUUGUGUUUUUUGCUCACUGUCACAUUCCCAGCACCUAGUAUGCUCAGUAAAUGUUUGUGGAAUAAGUGCAUAAAAUGUUCUUAACCUUUGAUUCUACUUACAGCCCAUGAUAGCCUCUUAGAUAUAAUAAAUUUGGAUUAUAC